UGGGGAAUUUUGCGCAAUGGGCGAAAGCCUGACGCAGCAACGCCGCGUGGAGGAUGAAGGCCUUCGGGUCGUAAACUCCUGUCAGGGGGGACGAACACAAUGACUGUACCCCCUGAGGAAGCCACGGCUAACUCCGUGCCAGCAGCCGCGGUAAUACGGAGGUGGCAAGCGUUGUUCGGAAUUACUGGGCGUAAAGGGCGCGUAGGCGGCUUUACAAGUCAGAUGUGAAAGCCCCGGGCUUAACUCGGGAAUUGCAUCUGAAACUGUUUUGCUUGAGUCCUGGAGGGGGUAUGGAAUUCCCAGUGUAGCGGUGAAAUGCGUAGAUAUUGGGAGGAACACCGUGCGGCGAAGGCGGCUACCGUGGACAGUGACGUGACGCUGAUGCGCGAAAGCUAGGGGA
rnacentral:rRNA from 1 species